GCCAGCGUAGCUCAAUCGGUAGAGCGACGCAUUCGUAAUGCGCAGGUUAAGGGUUCGAGUCCCUUCGCCGCCACCA
rnacentral:tRNA from 1 species